AUGGUGGAGCAAAUCGACGACAUUAACAUACAAAUUAUUUCAUUAAGGAUCGAUCGCCGAAACCACACUUUUGCAUACAAUAAGAAAACGAGUGCAAUGAACGAUUGAGACGUAUUUGGGAAAACACACCUGACAUUAGUUUUUAAUCUCGUCGGUCGGUGGUAUAUUUGCGCACAAACAAAACUCUUGCUAUUUAUUUUUAGAACGUUUCUCCGAGAGCAAAUUCAAAGAAAUUGGAUUUUUUAAAUGGGUCAAAACUUCGAUCUCCGAAGUAAAUCUAGUUUUGUAACAGGGUGCUCUAACCGGCGUGAUUUAGUUUUCUUUAGUUUUCUAUUACCGCCAAGACACUUUAACCUUCCCCUAUUUAAUUAGCCCAAUUAGUAUUGUAUCAAAAAAAUCAGUAGUACGUAAUAGUUCCCAAGCAAUUUUAAUCCGGAAUUAUAAUCGUCUCUUGUCAAUAGUCGAUACUUCCGGUUUGGUGUUAAUUUCCUUUCGACACAUUUCCACCGCUAAUGAGCGAGUGUUUAAAACACAGAGGCGUACUCUAUUUAUUUAUUCAUCCCGAAAGUUUUAAAAUCGAUGAAACCGAACUUUUCGAGAUCCUACUCCAACUCAAAUUUCCUCUUCACGAGUUGAAAUUGCAUUCGCUGAAAGCAGUUUAAUUUCGUGGAGCAUAAAGGUGGCUUCCAACUUUGAUAUUUUUGCCUGACAUAUUGUUAGAUUUUCGAGUCAGUUAUCAUAAAAAUUGAUAAUCGUUUUGCACUCUGCGAGAGGGGUGACCCAUUUUUUCUCGUUGACGUACUUAGAGUAUGUAGAUACGUCCAUGACGUUGUUUAUUUUACGAAACAAUCGCAUCAAAAUUAGGAGGUGAAAUUACGGAUGAUUUAAAAACGAGGCAUUCAUUAAAAAGUGAUUCGUGUUUUACUACCCUUAUCUCAUGUCAAAUUUACCGCAUCAAGAGGACGAGAUCGAAGCUGAUUUUCGAAGGGUUAUUAUGACACGACGCUGUCUGGAGAGAUUUCAUAACGCCACAUUUUCGACAACAUCGGUUAAUUAUAAAUCACAACAAUUUUCAUUUAUUUUUUGUCAAAUUUUUGGGCCUGACGCACUUACAUUGUAGGCAUCAGUGAUGUUGAUGAGUAUUUUAUUUUUGGCGACGGUCCCCGCAAUGCCCACCCCAAAGGGAAUCCUAAUUUCUUCGGCCUUUGCCA